CUACAGUUGACAGGUUAAUGGGAGAGAACAGAAUACAAGUUUUUUUCUACUUAACAGAUGGCAGAGUUUAAAAAAUUCAACUUAAACAAAAACACUCGGAUAAAGUCUACAGUAACACCAUUUAAAGAUUACUUCUGCUGUGGAUUCAGGGAACGAUGGAAUUAAUAAGAGAAAAUGAGCUCAAGUAAUCAACAAAAAUAAAAUGAGUGUAACCCCUUCCUCUUCCCUCCCGAGAAUCGCCCCCUGUUGACCAUGACAUCAAUCACAAAGACACUUGUUCAGCGGCCGGCUCUCCACCCAUCGCCUCGAAGGUCAGAGGGAUUUAACCGAAUUCACUCUCGGACUUGUCAGCCGAUCACAGGGGGGAAAUAAGCGAAAAUCAAGAAAUGAUGAGCACUUCGACAGCUGGGUUCCGUGAGCGCACAGAUUUUAAAGGAACAUACAGACUUUACUGGAGCAAAAAGGAAAGAACCCAAGUCUUGAAUGCCUGAUGUUCAUCUCCAGGUUCUUUCACUGAACUAUCUAAGCAACGGCAAUGCUUUGGAUUACUGUGGACUACCCAACUAGGGUAUCAGAUCAAUCAGUGGCCUCCAGCUCUCCUUGUCCUCUUAGAGCCACCUUAACUCUGAGAUUCCACUUAAUACCCUUUUCUUUUCCCUCAAACACUAUUAUGCUUUCCUCCAGGCAAUAUUCAUGCAUUAAACAACUGACCAGUGUGGGUUUGAAUCCUUAAAACAGACAGGAAAGAAGAAUGCAGCAUGUUGGGCACUUCAGUUCUCUAAAAAAAUGCACUAGUACAUGUGCACAGUCCUCUCAAUCAUAUCACAGAAUAUGGCUCAUGUGGUUAAGGAUGUGUGGCAAUUGUUUGCUUUUCUAAAAUACAAUCAUGGUUGUGAAAAUAGCUGUUGCUCAAUUGCCUGAGGAUGUAGAGUACACCACUGACAAAUUAAGAUCCAUAGUUACCAGAGUGACCAUUGUCUUUUCUUGUAUGAUGUACCUUGAUUUCCAUUAUGGUCAGAUUCUGUUUAUUUGGAUUAGCAUAUUUGGUGUAAGGACCAAGUGAGGAUACAUUCUAUAGGCAAUAUCCUUGAAUAGUUGCUUACCUUAAUCUUUAAAUCUAUAACUUCCCUCUUUAAUGCAAUAGAAGGACUUAUACAACACAACUAGAAUCUCCCAACCAUUUUAAAGUUAAUAACCACAAGUCUGGUUUCUUGAAAACAACAUAAACCAAGUCAUAAUGUGAAUUAUUUUGUAAUGGAAUGUGGUUGCUUUGAAUAGUUCUCCAUCACACUCAUUGAUAGGGUAGAACCUUUCCUCAUUGCAACCAUUUUCCAUUUUUACCAUACCUCAUUGGAUCUUCCAUAUUUGUCAAAGGAAGUCCUUCUGUUCCAUGCUUGGAAUUUCUAAACCAUGAAGGAGGAUUGUUUGGUAAAUAUUCUAUGUACCACAGGAUAAACCUAUAUUGAUCUUUUCCAGUCAGUGUAGAAAGUUCAAGUGCCCCUUGUUCAGCGUCAGUAUGACCCUGAAGAUUUUGACCUGGGUGAACUCAACAUCUGCCAUAGACUAAUGAAGUCAAUAAUUGUUACUGCGAUCAAUUCUUUAGAGAUAUUUUCUUGUAAGAUAAGAAGAUAAGAUAUCUUUAUUAGUCACAUGUACAUUGAAACACACAGUGAAAUACAUCAUUUGCGUAGAGUGUCUGGGGGCAGCCUGCAAGUGUCGCCACGCUUCCGGCGCCAACAUAGCAUGCCCACAACUUCCUAACCUGUAGGUCUUUGGAAUGUGCGAGGAAACCGGAGCACCUGGAGGAAACCCACGCAGACAUGGGGAGAACGUACAAACUCCUUACAGACAGUGGCGGGAAUUGAACUCGGGUUGCUGGUGCUGUAAUAGCAUUACGCUAACCGCUACACUACCGUGCCCCAUUUUGAUGCAAUACACCACACAAUUCUUUGUUCAAUAUGUUGACAGGAUAAUGUGAUAUAUCCCAAGCAACAUACAGAAAGAAAAGCAAAAGAAAACAUGUAAAUUGAAACAGAAAGUGCUGGAAAUACUGCAGGUCAGGCAGUAUCUGUGCAGAGAGAAACAGAAUUAAUGUUCCUGGCUGAUGACUGUUCAACAAAAUUAGGAAAAUAUGGAAACCAGACAUGUUUUGAGCUGCAGAAAGGGGGGUGGUAGGGAAAACAAAGGAAAUGUAUGUGAAAUGUGGAGGCCAAGAGAAAAUAGAUGACCCAAGUUGAUGUCUUGGUGGUGAUUGCUUGUUAAUGGCAGCUAACCUGUCUGGAGGAUGUAUAAAUUGAAGGAGAAUGAAUGAACAAACAAACAAACAAUGGUUACAAAAGGUCUUCAACCUGUAAUGUUGACUCUUUUUCUCUUUCCACAGACACUGCCAGACAUUUCAGCAUUUUCUAUUUUUAAUGUCUGCAGAAAGAGACCAUGUAAUUUUUAAAAACUAAUUGAUUAUGAGAAUUUACAUUAAGAUAAUGAAAACAUCUAAUUCGUUACAAGAAGUGACAGGAAAAGCUGAAUCAGGUCUGUCACAAAAGAUACAAAUCUGGUGACUGAAGAACUAGGUGUGGAUUAAAUUAAGGAAUGUGAGGGAUGAUUCCAAUUCAAUUAUCGUUGAACAGUUUGUUUCUGAUAGCACUUCAAAGGCAGGACCAUACUGAAUGUAAAUCAAAAACUGCAGAUGCUGCAAGUCUGAAACAAAAACAGAAAAUGCUAGAAAAGCUCAGCAAGUCAGGCAGCAUCUGUAGAAAGAGAAACAGUUAGAAGUAACGAAGAACAGUUCUGAUGAAGGGUCACAGACCUGAAACGUUGACUGUAUUUCUUUAUCCACAGAUGCUGCCUGACUUGUUGAGUCUUUAUGGCAUUUUCUGUUUUUGCUUCAUAUUGAAUCUAAGCAAGGGGCUGCUUGCAUUGCUGUGAAUCAUGCUUCACCAAAAAGAUGAAUUCAUUUCACGGUUAUGAUGUCCUCAAGAAAACCUUUUUGCAAAGUGUCUUGAAAUGGACUUGAGACAGAGAUUCCCUGUGUGAGUUGGUUGUGAAUGGAUUGAACAGUUGAAAUGCACCUACUCACCUUUGUAUAAAUCAAUGAAGUUACUUUGUGAAUGCUGACAGGUGCAUAAUAACCCAAUCAUUAGGCAAGGUCUGUGAGUUUGAAACAACAUUAUCUAUCUGGUUGCUGUAGAAACUGCCAGAUUGCACAAAUGUGUUGCUUUUUAUACUGGCAAGAAUGUUAUCUGGUAUUAAAAUGAACAGCUUCAGCAGGCAUGAUUCUAAUAUACAUCAAUUUCAAUAAUGAUUCAUUAUUUAGUGUGCAGUCUUUGCUCAAAGUGUUAAAACUUCCUGAUAUAUCUUUGACCUAUUGUAAUAUUUAGAAUUGUAUUUGUCUUUCACAUUGAAUAUUUCUGAUGAAAUAAUUGUAAUAUUUUGACCUCUGGAAUGCUAGAGGAUGUUUAAUAUUAAUUCCAGAGUUAAACAUGGAGUAAGUAUGUGACUGCCAAGUAGACUGGUGUAUCUAAAUAAACCGCACCUGUAUCGUAACCAGAUGACUUUGCUCCUUAGUACAUACCGAUGAUGUAAUGAAAUUGCUACUAUCACAAUGUAGUUAAAACAAAAUAA